rnacentral:rRNA from 1 species
GAUGAACGCUAGCGGCAGGCCUAACACAUGCAAGUCGAGGGGGAGGUUACUUUCGGGUAACUGAGACCGGCGUACGGGUGCGUAACGCGUAUACAAUCUGCCUUUCACUGGGGGAUAGCCCGAAGAAAUUUGGAUUAAUACCCCAUAGUAUAGUAAUACGGCAUCGUGAUGCUAUUAAAGCUUAGGUGGUGAAAGAUGAGUAUGCGUUCUAUUAGCUAGUUGGAGAGGUAACGGCUCCCCAAGGCGAUGAUAGAUAGGGGUUCUGAGAGGGAUGUCCCCCACACUGGUACUGAGAUACGGACCAGACUCCUACGGGAGGCAGCAGUGAGGAAUAUUGGACAAUGGUCGGAAGACUGAUCCAGCCAUGCCGCGUGCAGGAUGAAGGUCUUAUGGAUUGUAAACUGCUUUUGUAAGGGAAGAAUAAGGGCUACGCGUAGUUUGAUGACGGUACCUUACGAAUAAGCAUCGGCUAACUCCGU